rnacentral:rRNA from 1 species
UACGGGGGGGGGCAAGCGUUGUUCGGAUUUACUGGGCGUAAAGGGCGCGUAGGCGGCCCGCCAAGUCACUUGUGAAAUCUCCGGGCUUAACCCGGAGCGGCCAAGUGAUACUGACGGGCUGGAGUGCGGAAGGGGCCACCGGAAUUCUCGGUGUAGCGGUGAAAUGCGUAGAUAUCGAGAGGAACACCUGCGGCGAAGGCGGGUGGCUGGGCCGACACUGACGCUGAGGCGCGAAAGCCAGGGGAGCGAACGGG